UUCCAUUUCCAAGACGGACUUUUCUAGCGAAGCUGAUCAUCAUCACGAGUCCACCCAACCCCGUCGCUAGUUUGUCUCAGAGAAAGCUUUACGACAGUCCUCAUGUGCAGAGAGGACGACGGUUUUUGUCUAAAUAAUCAGAAACUUUGGUGAGUGUUAUUAAUUUUAUUUACACAUAAAACCAAAUGAAUUAAUAUAUUUUUUAGCUGUUGAUCAUGUGGUCGGCAGUGGCGCAGUUGCGGCUGUAAUGUAGAGGUUUGAAACGGUUUUAAGGGGGUUUCUAUUUGUGACAACGGUAUUCCAUCUUAAUGCACAAAAUGUUGUACUGAAUUCGGUACUUUUUAAGGUACCGACCGAAUUCCAUAGUACCGACCAAGCACCGAUUCACGUCGUUUCAAACGGUGCCUCGUUUCGGUACCCGUCCUUCAUAACGAGAACUUGCCAAGACAGCUGUGCAUGCGCAAGUGUGUUAUGUCGUCGGUCGCUGCGAGCGAGUUGUAAACAGAGCAGCAUGGUAGAAAGAACGCACGCUAAAGCUUGGGUCCACUUCACUAAAUGUGGUGGGUAACUGGGUGAUGAUGAAACCAGCGACAACGAUCUAAGUGAGACAUCCUCAUCUUAAUCUGCUCCGGUAGGUAAAUAAAAUGUUUAAGAUAAUGUUAGCUUGAUAUGUUAACUUCCGUUUCGUUAAUGGUGCGUUCGCUUUCUCCUCGGAACUCCAAAUUCCCGACUAGACGCGCUCUAAAGUUUGGCUUCACUUUACUAAAUGUGACUGGGUGAAGACGAAACCAGUGACAACGAUCUAAGUGUGAGGCACCAGCUUAGUGGCCUAGUGGUAGAGUGUCCGCCUUGAGACUGGGAGAUCAGGGUUCGAUUCCUGGUCGGGUCAUACCAAAGACUUUGAAAAAAUGGGACCCAAUGCCUCCCUGCUUGACACUCAGCAUUAAGGGGUUGGAUUGGGGGGUUAAACCGCCAAAUGGUUCCCGAGCGCGGCUGUGUCUGCAGCUCACCGCUCCCCCAGGGUAUGGGUCAAAUGUGGAGAACAAAUUUCGCACACACACCUGUGUGUGUGACAACUAAUGGGACUUUAACUUUUUAAUUUUAAUCUGCUCCAGCAGCUAAAUAAACUGUUUAAGAUAACGUUAGCGUGGUAUGUUAGCUUCCAUUGCUACCAUUGUUAUCAGCUAAUGGUGCGUUUGCUUUCUCCUCGGAAAUUCUAUCUUCCCAGUAGGAAAAAUCAAAUGAAAAAAGACGGCAAAAGGAAUGAAGAUACACAGUAAAUUUAGUUCACAGUAAAGAUGUUUGCUUCAGUUUAAUUAUCAGCUUGUAAAACUACAAGGACGAUGUUAAAAUACAAACAGUUGUAUGUUAUUUAUCGUGAUAUUUAUCAAAUAUUGUUAUGUAUUGAGAAAAAUAUAUAUUUAAUUAUAAAAGAGAAUUAAAAUAAUAAACACUCAAAAGUAUCGAAAAUUGGUACCGUUAAGUACCGGUAUCGAUUCCUAGGUACCAGGAAUUAGUACCGGAUCGAUUCAAAUGUCAAAGGUACCCAUCCCUAUUCUGAAUAUUUAAUUAUUAACUAACUGAACAAACAUCCAUGCGUAAUCUCGAAAUUAUGCAGCGUCCUGUUACUCCCUCAGCCCCCUCCUCUCUCGGAGCGCUUCAUAAACAAUCAGCUGCUGCAUGAUGGCAAAUACGUGUAAAAACAACUUAAUGAAACCACCAGAAGAAAGUAUUUCAACAGCCUUCUUUAUUUUUUUAUUUGUACAAAACACGAUUAGUGAGUCCACAUCCAGACAGAAUUAUCCACAUUCUGUCUAAUGAUCUGCAGCAGCUGGGAUAAUUGUGACCACAAAGUUCUGAUUUGUUCUGCUACUGAUAAAACCAAACAUGGUGUAAAGUCUUGAAUGAACUUUACAAACACACCAGCACAUAACAACAAAACUCUGUAUAUAACUGUGUGCUGUAGAAUUGAUGGUUAUCUAUAAAAUAGCAUUUGCAUUAACCACUACGUGUGUUUUGAUUAGGAGUCAUUCAAAGCAACACUAACGAGUUGAAACUCUUUGAGAUAUUGCUUUCAGACGGAGUUCAGUCGUUCUUGAGCCAGAAAUUUGAGCAACUUUAUAUUGUUCACCAUUCUGUCGCCCUCUGCUGACCAGAAACUGCACUCAACAGUCUUGUGAGGUCUUAAGGUAGGAACACUAGAGGGAAGUCUUUACCUACUUUAUGGCAAAAGAUGUUUACCCCCAAAUUCCACCACCUCCGCUCCGCUCCGGCACGAACUCCGCAGCAAAAUCGGUCCCGUUGUAGUCAAUCAGAGCAAUUCCACUACUGCGGCCGUGCUGCGGCAGUGCGGCGCAGUGCGCCGCCCUCUGUUCCGGCGUCCGGCAAAAAUAGAAUCGAUCCUAUUUUUGACGGACGCCGGAACACCUCCGCAGUAAAUGGACAGGAAUCACAACCGUCCAACAGGAAAAGGAGCAAGCACAGCUUCCGUUUUUCACAAUAAAUCGAUAAACAAAAAGCGUGUUUUGUUUCAUAUGCACAGGUUUAACAACUUUUAACAACUAUCAAUGGCGGCUGAACUUUAAAUGCACAAAAGUAAGCCAUGAAUACAGUUUCUACUAUCAAAGUAGUCACACUUUGUUGAUCCAAACACUGCUGAUCUCUCAACACAAAUGAUGGGCAGAUUGAACAGUUCAUUUCGAUGCUUCUCCCACACAAUGGGUGUUUGGAUCUAACUUCCGCGUUUAUUGCUCGGACUGUAUCGCAAAAUCUCGAAAAUCCCGCACAUGCUUGUUUGCGCACCUCAGGUCUGCGAACCGGAGCGGAGCCGUUGUAGAGCGGGUACCAGUAAAAAUUGAGUUCGGAAGCGAGCGGCUGCGGAAGGUGGGGGCGGAGCGUAGCGGAGCUAGUGGAAUUUGGGGGUUACUGUGCUGGGAGCUAACAUAAAAACUAGCAAUUAGCUUUUUCAUUUAGCUGACCAUUGAUAAAAAGCAGAAGAAGAAGCACAUUGCUUUUCUUUUUUGGUUGACAUCAAUGUGGAGUAAAAGUAAAAGUGUGAGAGUAAAUAUCUUUGGAGUAGAAGCAAAGAGCUAAAACUGAGUGAACAUCGACGAGGCCUACGAACGUUUGAGGGAGCAGAAGGAGAUUACGAAAUCAUGGACUGAUGGUGACCUGGCUUUUUUGCUACUGGACUUGUAAACAAUAACAUCUUUGUUUGGCUUAUUUAGCAUCGUUGACUCAUGUUAGUGUUAGCUUAUUGCUAGCGCUGGCUACGGCAGGUUGAGACAGGCUUGUUUAUGACUCCUUUCAACCAGCCGAAGGGAGAAAUGGGAAUCUUACUGUUGCUUUAAAGUUGUGUUAGCUUUUAAUAAUAAUAAUGCAUUGAACUUGUAUAGCGCUUUUCUAGACCCCCAAAGACGCUUUCACACACUCUCACAUUCACACACUGCUAGUGAUGGUAAGCUACUUGUAGCCACAGCAGCCCUGGGGAGGUCUGACAGAGGCGAGGCUGCCAUUUGGCGCCGUCGGCCCCUCUGACCACCACUAACACAGGCAAGUUGGGCGAAGUGUCUUGCCCAGGGACACAACAGCAGGAUGCCCCUGGCGGGAGCUGGAAUCGAACCCAUGACCCUCCGAUCAUGAGGCAACCCGCUGUCACGGUUUGCCUCCACCUACUGAUGGAUUGUGUCAGUUUUUGUGUUGCAGGUGGGCGCGGCAGACUGCACAGCUGUCUGGAGUUUCGCUAAUUGAGGUGCAGAGGAUUUAAGGAGCGGUGUGACUCAACUCCAGCUCCGGUUGAUGCUCUCACUUGGGUAGCAUCUAGCCUCUGAAUCUGCCUGUUCUCUUGUGACCUUGAAUUAAUGACUUUGUAUCCCGUUCCAGUAUCCUGUUCCCGCAUCACCUACCUUGCCUGGAGUUGUUCCCACGUCUCGCCGCUCAAGAUCCUCUGGAUUCCUCUCUCCACGUCUGCCCGCCUCUCUCCACGUCUGCCCGCCUGCCUCACGCUCAGAACCUCUCACCCGGCCCAACUUCUCCCAGUUCACCUCCGCUCUAGUCCUGGCUCCUGACCAUUCCGGUACCCUCCUGUUCCUGAUCAUUGAAGCAGCGCCUUUAGUUCUAGUUUUUUUGUCUCUUUUGUUUCCACUGUAAAUAAAUCACUUUACAUUC